rnacentral:misc_RNA from 1 species
UGACCAAACAGACCGCGCACGCGUCAUCCAGCCUGCCGGCGGCGGCACCGUUCGUCGCUCGGCCAAGUCCUCGAUAACCUCCUCUCCUCGGAGUGGGGGCUCGGGGUAAAAGAACCCACGACGCCUAAGGCGUCAAGGAACACUGUGCCUAGCCCGGGGACGCGGACGGCUUGCUGGCCGCCCCCCGUGCUGCAAUGCUAUUUAAUCCACAUGACUCUCGGCAACGGAUAUCUCGGCUCUCGCAUCGAUGAAGAACGUAGCGAAAUGCGAUACCUGGUGUGAAUUGCAGAAUCCCGCGAACCAUCGAGUCUUUGAACGCAAGUUGCGCCCGAGGCCAUUCGGCCGAGGGCACGCCUGCCUGGGCGUCACGCAAAACACGCUCCCACCCCCUCACCGGGGAGCGGGACGCGGCAUGUGGCCCCCCGUCGCGCAAGGGGCGGUGGGCUGAAGAUAUGGCUGCCGACGUAUCGUGCCGGACACAGCGCGUGGUGGGCGACCUCGCUUUACUUCCGCAGUGCAUCCGGCGCGUAGCCGACGUGAUGGCCUCAAAGGACCCUAUGAACGGUGCGCACGACGCUCCGACC